CCACAAUGGAACUGAGACACGGUCCAUACUCCUACGGGAGGCAGCAGUGAGGAAUAUUGCACAAUGGGGAAACCCUGAUGCAGCAACGCCGCGUGGGUGAUGAAGGCCUUCGGGUCGUAAAACCCUUUUCUGGGGGACGAGAAAGGACGGUACCCCAGGAAUAAGUCCCGGCUAACUACGUGCCAGCAGCCGCGGUAAAACGUAGGGGGCAAGCGUUAUCCGGAUUUACUGGGCGUAAAGCGCGUGCAGGCGGCUUAGUAGGUUGGACGUGAAAGCUCCUGGCUCAACUGGGAGAGGCCGUUCAAUACCGCUAGGCUCGAGGGCGGAAGAGGGGAGUGGAAUUCCCGGUGUAGUGGUGGAAUGCGUAGAUAUCGGGAGGAACACCCGUGGCGAAGGCGACUCCCUGGUCCGCACCUGACGCUGAGACGCGAAAGCGUGGGUAGCAAACGGGAUUAGAUACCCCGGUAGUCCACGCCGUAAACGAUGGAUGCUAGGUGUGGGUGGUAUUGACCCCAUCCGUGCCGUAGCUAACGCGUUAAGCAUCCCGCCUGGGGACUACGGCCGCAAGGCUAAAACUCAAAGGAAUUGACGGGGGCCCGCACAAGCAGCGGAGCGUGUGGUUUAAUUCGAUGCUACGCGAAGAACCUUACCUGGGCUUGACAUGCACGUAGUAGUGAAGCGAAAGCGGAACGACCCUUCGGGGAGCGUGCACAGGUGCUGCAUGGCUGUCGUCAGCUCGUGUCGUGAGAUGUUGGGUUAAGUCCCGCAACGAGCGCAACCCUCGUCGUUAGUUAUACGUGUCUAACGGGACUGCCGGUCUAAAACCGGAGGAAGGUGGGGAUGACGUCAAGUCAGCAUGGCCUUUAUGUCCAGGGCUACACACACGCUACAAUGGCCGGUACAACGGGCUGCCACACCGCGAGGUGGAGCCAAUCCUCAAAGCCGGCCUCAGUUCAGAUUGCAGUCUGCAACUCGACUGCAUGAAGGCGGAGUUGCUAGUAACCGCGCGUCAGCAAUAGUGCGGUGAAUACGUUCCCGGGCCUUGUACACACCGCCCGUCACGUCAUGGAAGCUGGUAACACCUGAAGUCAGUGGACCAACCGUAAGGAGGUAGCUGCCUAAGGUGGGACUGGUAACUGGGACGAAGUCGUAACAAGGUAGCUGUAGCGGAAGCUGCGGCUG
rnacentral:rRNA from 1 species